GCAGAAUUCAGUGAAUCAUCGAAUCUUUGAACGCAAAUGGCGCUCUUGGGUUCUCCCAGGAGCAUGUCUGUCUGAGUGUCUUUUUCGUUGAAUGACAUUCGCACGAUGUGGCCGUGUCAUGCACUGGCGUUUCGUGCGGCGUUGAGGUUCACGGCCUUGCUAUUCUUAGGCCGCGUGCCUUUAAAUGGAGGAGGAAGAUGGGCUCAAGGUCCGGUGCAGUCGCAUGCGGAUUCAGUUCAUGUGCCGCAUGUGACUGCUGCACCGGGAAUAUUGUCCUCGGCCCUCUACCUCGUGACCUUUAGCACGACGCUCGUUCGUUCGUUCGUUCGUUCGUUCGUUCGUUCGUUCGUUCGUUCGUUCGUUCGUUCGUUGCUUGCCGCCAGACCUCAGAUCAGGCAAGGCUACCCGCUGAAUUUAAGCAUAUUAAUAAGCGGAGGAAAAGAAACUAACAAGGAUUCCCCCAGUAACGGCGAGUGAAGCGGGAAGAGCUCAAAUUUGAAAUCUCCGAUGCCUGCAUCGGCGAGUUGUAGUUGCGAGAAGCACUUUCUAGGCGGAAGGGCCCUGCCUAAGUUGCUUGGAACAGCACGUCGCAGAGGGUGACAACCCCGUCU
rnacentral:misc_RNA from 1 species